rnacentral:rRNA from 1 species
UACGUAGGGUGCGAGCGUUAAUCGGAAUUACUGGGCGUAAAGCGUGCGCAGGCGGUUCGUUAAGACAGUUGUGAAAUCCCCGGGCUCAACCUGGGAACUGCAUCUGUGACUGCAUCGCUGGAGUGCGGCAGAGGGGGAUGGAAUUCCGCGUGUAGCAGUGAAAUGCGUAGAUAUGCGGAGGAACACCGAUGGCGAAGGCAAUCCCCUGGGCCUGCACUGACGCUCGUGCACGAAAGCGUGGGGAGCAAACAGG